UACGUAGGGGGCAAGCGUUUGUCCGGAUUUAUUGGGCGUAAAGAGCGUGUAGGCGGCCAGAUAGGUCCGUUGUGAAAACUCGAGGCUCAACCUCGAGACGCCGAUGGAAACCAUUUGGCUAGAGUCCGGAAGAGGAGAGUGGAAUUCCUGGUGUAGCGGUGAAAUGCGCAGAUAUCAGGAAGAACACCCCGUGGCUAAGGCGGCUCUCUGGGCAGUAACUGACGCUGAGGAGCGAAAGACGUGGGGAGCGAACAGG
rnacentral:rRNA from 1 species